rnacentral:lncRNA from 1 species
CCACGUACCCGAACAACCGUUGCUAUUCGCUCUCUUCCAUCUGUUUUUAACAAUGAUUUGCCACUUUAGUUUAAUUCGCCAUGUUGUUUACAUCACGGAUCAGCUGCAACUGACAAUCGAAAAAUUCUAGCGUAUUUUUAAUUCACGAUUAAAUUUCGUCUUUUAUCCUCAUUUAAUAUGUAAUUAAUUGUACUUAAUUACUCUUUUACUUCUGAUAAUUUCACAAGAAGAUUAUCUUUUGAAACGUUAUCACCGACCGAAAACAAAACAUCUUCGACAAUUCCGUCAAUAGAUGCUUUAAUUACGUGCUGUAAAAAAAAAUAAUAAAAGUUUAUGAACGUUAUGACCAAA